GACGAACGCUGGCGGCGCGCUUAACACAUGCAAGUCGAACGGAAAGGCCUGCUUUCCCUUGUGGAUUGCGGGUACUCGAGUGGCGAACGGGUGAGUAACACGUGAGUGAUCUGCCCCCAACUUGGGUAUAAGCCUGGGAAACUGGGUCUAAUUCCCGAUAGGACUGCAGGGUGGUGCCUGUGGUGGAAAACGAUUUUCUAGUGGUUGGGGAUGAGCUCGCGGCCUAUCAGCUUGUUGGUGGGGUAAUGGCCUACCAAGGCGGCGACGGGUAGCCGGCCUGAGAGGGUGGACGGCCACAUUGGGGCUGAGAUACGGCCCAGACUCCUACGGGAGGCAGCAGUGGGGAAUAUUGCACAAUGGGCGGAAGCCUGAUGCAGCGACGCCGCGUGGGGGAUGACGGCCUUCGGGUUGUAAACUCCUUCCGACCGCGAGGAAGCCACCUGGUUGGAAGGGUGGUGACGGUAGUGGUAGAAGAAGCACCGGCUAACUACGUG
rnacentral:rRNA from 1 species